rnacentral:rRNA from 1 species
GGAACACCUCAGAGAAAUGGUGUGUCCGAACGUCGUAAUCGCACUCUGUUGGAUAUGGUGCCAUCUAUGAUGUCUCUUACCGAUUUACCGCUCUCAUUUUGGGGUUAUGCUUUAGAGACUGCCGCAUUCACUUUAAAUAGGGCACCGUCUAAAUCCGUUGAGACGACACCGUAUGAAUUAUGGUUUGGGAAGAAACCUAAGCUGUCGUUUCUAAAGGUUUGGGGAUGCGAUGCUUAUGUCAGGAAACUUCAACCUGAAAAGCUCGAACCCAAAUCGGAAAAAUGCGUCUUCAUAGGAUACCCUAAGGAAACUAUUGGGUAUACCUUCUACCUCAGAUCCGAAGGCAAGAUCUUCGUUGCCAAGAACGGGUCCUUUCUAGAGAAGGAGUUUCUCUCGAAAGAAUUGAGUGGGAGGAAAGUGGAACUUGAUGAGGUGAUAGUCACCCCUUCCGAACCGGAAAGUAGCGCAGCGCGGGAAAAUGUUCCUGUGGUGCCUACACCGACUGGGGAGGAAGUUAAUGAUGAUGAUCAUGAAGCUUCAGAUCAAGUUGCUGAACUUCGUAGGUCCACAAGGACACGUUCCGCACCAGAGUGGUACGGCAACCCUGUCCUGGAAAUCAUGUUGUUAGACAACGGUGAACCUUCGAACUAUGAAGAAGCGAUGGCG